rnacentral:rRNA from 1 species
UACGUAGGGUGCGAGCGUUGUCCGGAAUUAUUGGGCGUAAAGAGCUCGUAGGCGGUUUGUCGCGUCGACUGUGAAAACUGGGGGCUUAACUCUCAGCUUGCAGUUGAUACGGGCAGACUUGAGUUCGGUAGGGGAGACUGGAAUUCCUGGUGUAGCGGUGAAAUGCGCAGAUAUCAGGAGGAACACCGGUGGCGAAGGCGGGUCUCUGGACAGUAACUGACGCUGAGGAGCGAAAGCGUGGGGAGCGAACAGG